UGACACGUGUGUGCAUUUUUCUGUGUGU
rnacentral:piRNA from 1 species